rnacentral:sRNA from 1 species
GCGAGUCCGUUCGCAUUAUAAAAUGCUAA